rnacentral:lncRNA from 1 species
AUGGGAAACAUCAAGUCUAAGGAUGACAGAGGAGCCAUUCCAAAGAAAGAAACGCCAGCAUUUUAUAUGUACACCCACUACCAGCCUAAGUGCUGCAGAUUUCUGGUGGACUGGCAUAGGCUUACGAGAGGUCACGGUCUGUGGUUUCCACGAGAAGGAUCGUUUGACCUGAGUAAAAUAAUGCACCUGAAGGAGGUCCUGGAAUAUCGUGGCUCUAAAGUGGGGCGAGGCGAGUGGAAAGCGUUCAUUGUUUGGUACGCUGAAGCUUCCAAAAGGCACCAGGAUGCUCGGGAGCAGCAUCAUAGAGAUUCCAUUGCGAAACUGGAAGAUAAGAUUCGAGCUUUUGAGUCUGUCAAUCACCCUCCACCACAACAGGAGGUGCCGGGGGAUGUUGGGGAGCGCUUGAGUGCUCAAGGAGUUGGCCAACCUCCAGCUCCAGCCGCUGCCCCUCCGGCGCCGACUCAGGCCCCAGCCGCUGCCUCUUCCGUUCCUUUAACUCCCCUUCCUUCCUUAACCCCAACACCUGUUGUAGCCUCAGAUGCUAGAGACUCCUGUAUCUCUUCUCCCAGGCUGAGAGUGGUAGAGCACCCAGAAUGGAGAAGGAAUUUAGGUGAUUUUAUUGCUUCUAGGCCUAAGAAUUUGUAUGACCUUGCUAGCAAGUUCUCAGACAUUGAGAAAGAACCAAUAGAGUUUAAGAAUCAGUUAAGUUUUGUUAUUAAUGUUUUUAAGCCCACCUGGGCAGAUAUGAACAGACUUUUGACAAUUGUACUGGCCACAGAGGUCAGAGAGCGCCUCUUUGAUGCGGCGCUCUGGCCGCCGAAGGAUCCUGGAGAGAGUCCCUACCUGGUUUGGGUCUGGCAGGCUUUACUCAAUGCUGUUCUGUUGGUCUGCCCUAGAAAAUCUGACUGGGGGAAAAUCGUAUCCUGUAAGCAAGAAAUGAAUGAGCAACCUAGCAUGUAUUUAAAUCGCUUUACAAAAGUCUUUGAGGAGCACUCUGGCAUCAGUGAGCCGGGCAAUGGGGCCACCCAAGGGAUGGCGAUCGCUUUUGUCCAAGGCCUCCUCCCCAGAGUUCAAAAACAGCUGCGUACUUUUUGUGUGGGGUGGGAAGGAAAAUGCGUGUACGAAUUAUCAGCAGUAGCUCACUACUACUGGCAGCUGGAGCAGGAGAGGAAGAUGAUCGUCUGUCGAGGCCCUCAGAGACGACGGCCUCGGAAGUCCUUUGACCCUUCUGCAUGCUUUUACUGUAAACAGCGUGGUCAUUGGAGAAAGGAGUGCCCUUAUCGGCUCACUCACCAGCUCCAACAACUGGAGCCUUCCGUCACGUUCUCCUGCGGGAUAGUUGGUCUUUAG